rnacentral:rRNA from 1 species
CAGUCGCCGCGGUAAUACGUAGGUGGCAAGCGUUGUCCGGAACUAUUGGGCGUAAAGGGCUCGCAGGCGGUUUCUUAAGUCUGAUGUGAAAGCCCCCGGCUCAACCGGGGAGGGUCAUUGGAAACUGGGAAACUUGAGUGCAGAAGAGGAGAGUGGAAUUCCACGUGUAGCGGUGAAAUGCGUAGAGAUGUGGAGGAACACCAGUGGCGAAGGCGACUCUCUGGUCUGUAACUGACGCUGAGGAGCGAAAGCGUGGGGAGCGAACAGGAUUAGACACCCCGGUAGUCCCUGUCUCUUAUAC